GUUGAGCCCCCAGGCCACCCACCCGCCGGAGGGCGGGGCGGCCAGGAACGCCACGGAGAGGGACGACGCCGCAGCGUCGUAGGUCCAGUGCACGGACGCGCCCAGGCGGGGCAGGUCGGCGCACGCCGCGAACACCCGGUUGGCCGAGAACUUCUCCGCCCCGCAGGCGGCGGCCGCACGGCGCGGGGCCACCGCCACGGCGAGGACGAAGAGGACGAGGAGCCGCGGGAAGGACAUGGCCGGACGCCGCGGGCGUUCUUGCGCGCACUAGGCUCCAAGGAGGGGGAAGGAAUCUCGUGUGGGGAAACCGCAGAAAGGCUGCGGAUUUUUGGGUGCGGAGUUGGAGCUCGG
rnacentral:lncRNA from 1 species